rnacentral:lncRNA from 1 species
GUGUAAUCUAAGUAACUUGUCUGGCUUUUAUAUGCUUUCUGUGUUAAUCAUAUUAUUCAUAAACAUUUUUACGUAAAAAAAAAAUGACAUCUUUCAUUAAAUAUGUAUUUUUUUGUCACUUAAAUCAUUUAUUGACUAAAGUAGAUUUACUUUAAUCACAGUGAAAAAAUGUAUUUUAUUUUUACUAACGAUAAGUGCAAGGUUUAUUAAUAUAAUACAGCUGAGAUUAAAGCAAUAUCCUAGGAAUGAAAACAAAAUGUCAGACCAAGAGUGUGACGGUAACGAAAGAAAAAUUAUAAAAACUACUAAAGUGAGUAUCUUGUCAUGUACAAGACUUAACAAAUAAGAAGACAUGGAAACGUGUAAGUCACUGUUACAGACUGCGGAACUUCUAAGACAUCUGUGGUACGUAGCACAGUAUUCCUGUGCGUUAAGCCAUAUUAGAAUUCUUACGGUUCAUCGAUAAGAACAUGGAUGCCCCGAAAUACGUAUCACUGCCCAUCAGAUCAGUGAUAAAAGUAUGUUUACGAUUAAGUCCCAAGUAAAAAAUAUUUGUCUAAAAUCAGAACUAAAUGAAGUUGUUUAAAAUAUGGGAAGUGACUUUUUGGAAUAGAUACCCACAGACAUUGCACGGUGUAGGUUUUGCCAUGAGAAUUGCUGGGGCAAAGUUUCGAAACUGGAGCAAACGGCAGGAACAUUCCACUUGUUCCUUUUCACAAUGUUGCCCCACAAUUUCUCUUACCGAUUCCUAUUAAUAAGGAAAUGCAGGGCCACCCAGCAAUAGGUACACACAAAAUUAAGCCCUAUACUCCAAAUCCCCCUGGGCAGAAGCAAUGGAAACCAUAUACAUCAGCCCAAAUACAUAGAACAAAAGUGACCUGCACGCUAUCCAAAGGCACGUGUAAAUAACAGCUUUUGUUCUAUUUUAAGGUUGAUGAGUAAUGUAGCCAAUGCUGCCGCCCAGGAGUAGUGGAAGUUUGAGUGCAGGGCUUAAUUUGUAUGUUUGUAUUUGCUUCCCUAUUCCAUAGCCAUGGGGUGCUGCCUCCGAUCCCACGUGCGCCCUGUUAAGGGUUAGUAACUGUGCAGGGGUUUAUUCAAUACCCCUUUCUGUCUCAAGAGAUUUUUUUUUUUUACUUGAAACCGAAAGACACAAUGUGAAUUGUUAGUAUAGGACUCAACUAAGACGUGGCAGAUGAGCUUGCACUUUAAUGGCCAUUGGAGUGAUAUUUAACACCACCUGUAAUUUAAAGGACCACUAUAGUGCCAGGAAAACAAACUCUUUUUUUUGUCUCUAUUCGGUCUUUGGGUCCCACUCCCGCCGGGCUGAAGGGGGAGGAAGUGGUUAAAUUCUUACCUUUCUCCAGCGCCGGGCUCCCUUGGCGCUGGGGACUCUCCUCCCUCUUCCGACAUCAUCCGCCGAAUGCGCAUGCAUGGCAAGAGCCGCACACGCAUUCAAUCAGUCCAUUGGAAAGCUUUUCUCAAUGCUUUCCUAUGGAUGUCCAGCGUCUUCUCACUGUGAUUUUCACAGGCGGAAGCGCCUCAAGCGGCUGUCAGUGAGACCGCCACCAGAGGCUGCAUUAACACUAAUGUAAACAUAGCAGUUUCUCUGCAGGAUUAACACUAGAGGGACCUGGCACCCAGACCACUAUAUUGAGCUGAAGUGGUCUGGGUGCCUAUAGUGGUCUUUUAAUUAUCCAUAGGGAUAUGAGAGAGCGCAUUAUGGGUCUGAUUCCCAGAUGUGUUUUUUGGCAAAUCUCUGAAUUAUUCACUAAACCAGGGAAAUUGAAUAGGAAAUUGCACAUUUUAGUCUGUGUUCUCUAACUCGGCUAAUUUAGCAUAACAUUUGUGAUUUCCUAUUUCAUUUUCAACAAUCUACAGCUUGCAGGGUAUUGACUGAAGUCUGCAUUGUAGAAAAUUAGUAUCCAAAAGGUAACAUUUAUGCAACCAUUUUUAGCAAAUUGGAUUUUAGUCAAUAAAACCCCCAACUGUCUACUCAUCUCCAGACUUCCAGUAUAUACAUUCUGAAACUAGGCCACUCGUCUAAUCAAUGCAAUCUAAGGCAAAGUUUAAAGGUUUUACAGUUAUGUUUUUAGACAGCUCAGAUGUAAAUUAUACAAUGUUGUACAUUUCUCAUAUAAAGCAAUUACACCUUGAAUUAAGUAAAUGAAAUAAAGUGAAACAUUUUACAGGGUAACGAUUUCCUAUCUAUAAAACACGGAGCAUCCUGCUUUUAUAUCAUUCAUUUAGCUCUUUGUAGAUCAGAAAGUUUCUUUCAAGCAACAUUGUAUAAAGUUUACAUCUCACGUUAAGAUAUGCCAAACAAAGAAAACUCACAGCAUGGAGCGAAAAAUAAAGUAGGUUUAAUGUAGUUUGUCAACAUGAGAUGCUGUUUUGCAAAUCUAAACAGUAAGUAAGAAAUAACAUAUUCUCUAUUUGGGUCUCCAAGUUUUUCCCUUAGUCUUUCAAGUAGACACAAUUUAAUUUAAUAUUGUUUUUCUACCUGCUGAGUGAAUCAAAUGCAGUUCUCGUGAAUAAGCUGAUUUUACCAAUUAUGUAUGUGCAUAAACAAUAAGCUCUGAUGGGGAAUCCAUCUGUACGACCAGGAGUUUAUUUAUUUAGAAAUGUUUGAUGCUGACAAAGGACGCGAAAUGACCACACGAAAAAUAAAUGUAUCCAUGUGUGGCUGGGACGGAUAUUGUAGCCCCCACAAACACAGGAAAGAUUAUCCUUUGGCAAAUGCUGCAAAGAUCCUAUUUUAAUUAUAGUACGAUAAGAAUAAUCACACACUGGACGUCAAGUCGAGAAUUAAUCAGAAAGAAUAAGGACAUUUCAAAUUGCUGAAUUUGGGGAAAGUAGGAAACUUUGUUAAUUUAUAGCUUGGAUGUAUUGCCAUUUCCAUUGACAGCUCUUUGCGUUUCCCAAUUUAAUGAAUAAACCGCACAGACAGAUUUUAAGAAAUGUUUGUUUUGGUAGUAAAGUAUGCGCCCUGUUAUUACAUGUGUAUUCUUGUUACAUCACACACUUUCUUCGCUCUAUCUCAGUCUCCAAAAUGCGUUGGGUCAUAAUUUGAAAAUUGAUUGUACUAAAUGUUAGUGUGAGUAGAAUAUUUUGUACAAAUUAAAUAUAAGAAAUGUACAUAGCAGAGGUUUUUCUGCUGAUUGUAUAUAGCAAUCAUUUGUAAAUAUAACAAGCAGCGUAAUUAAAAGAAAUAAAAUCUUGUACACGAUCUUGUUAUAAUGACUUUCUGCUGUAAUUGAACUCUUAAGUCGAUGUGGUUGUGUCGGUGAUUUAACCCUUUGAAAGCCAGAGGGAAAUUGAUGCAUUGUAGAAGUGUGUUUUCAAGUCCACUGGAGUCAAUGGUUUAACACCCCCGACCCCCCAGUCCUGCCUAAAGUGGUGUAAAUCGGGGGAAGUGAUGUCAUGUAUAUGGAUUGACAUUCUGAGAUAACCAAUACUGUAAUUGUGACAUGUCUAGAUAAUACAGAGUUUACUACACUCCAAUGUGCAUGCAGUUAGUGUGUUAUAUAUGUUCUAUUCAAGAUGGGGUAUGUGCUACCUACAUGUCUAAAUUAAAUAAAACACUAAAUAGAAAUAAAUAAAUGCAAUUCAUUUGAUGUGAGCAGAACACGAUGGACUGGUGGUAUUAUGCCAACAUACUUGCCGACUGAAACCUGCAGUAAUUAAGUGUAAUAAAUACAUCAUUAUUACAGAA